UACGGAGGAUGCAAGCGUUAUCCGGAUUCAUUGGGUUUAAAGGGAGCGUAGGUGGUCUUGUAAGUCAGUGGUGAAAUCUGGCAGCUUAACUGUUAAAUUGCCAUUGAUACUGCAGGACUUGAGUACAGAUGCCGUUGGCGGAAUAUGACAUGUAGUGGUGAAAUACAUAGAGAUGUCAUAGAACACCGAUUGCGAAGGCAGCUGACGAAACUGUAACUGACACUGAGGCUCGAAAGUGUGGGGAUCAAACAGG
rnacentral:rRNA from 1 species